rnacentral:snoRNA from 1 species
UACAGAAGAUGAAACCAUUUACUCAAAUUAUAGACAAGCAUAUGUCUGAUAAGAAUUUAUUCUUUUAUGAUUGAAACGAGAAAUAUGUGUCUGAUGUA